rnacentral:rRNA from 1 species
CCUACGGGGGGCAGCAGUGGGGAAUAUUGGGCAAUGGGCGCAAGCCUGACCCAGCAACGCCGCGUGAAGGAAGAAGGCUUUCGGGUUGUAAACUUCUUUUCUGAGGGACGAUAGUGACGGUACCUCAGGAAUAAGCCACGGCUAACUACGUGCCAGCAGCCGCGGUAAUACGUAGGUGGCAAGCGUUAUCCGGAUUUACUGGGUGUAAAGGGCGUGUAGGCGGGAUGGUAAGUCAGAUGUGAAAACUAUGGGCUCAACCCAUAGCCUGCAUUUGAAACUAUCGUUCUUGAGUGUUGGAGAGGCAG